rnacentral:rRNA from 1 species
UUACUUCAUACCAAUCRAACUGCUUCSGGCGCUCCWCUGGUGAUUCUGAAUUACUCUGAUCUGAUCGAACGGCUUCCCGCCACCKACCCUUCAUAUGWAGGCGUGCCCUACUUUCUGUGGACUGUUAUGCGCCUACCAUGGGUGGUUUUGACAACGGACAAGGAAUCAGGGAUUCCGGACAGGGAGGGAGCCAAACGGCUACCUACCACUUCUACGGCAAGGCAGCAGGCACGCACCCACUCCCUGGUCGAAGACGUAGUGUACGAACGAAACAUAACUGGUCUCAAACUCAUCCGAGGUCCGAAUGGGAACAAGAGAACUCUUUAAAUCCGGAUCUAUGGACCCAUUGGACGGGAAGUCUGGUGCCCGCAGCUUCCGGCAUUCCUACUCCAUAUUAAAAUAUUUGCGUUGUAGCAGCUCAAAAGCUCGUCUUUGAUUCUGGAUACGGUCGGGGCGGUGGACKCWCUGACUGUCCGACUCCUUUUCUCUGKGUUUCKAACGGAGCUCUCRAGGGAGUCACUUCCGAUKCCUGAACUAUGACCUCGGGAUAACUGAGAAGAACAAAGAGKGCUCUGC